rnacentral:rRNA from 1 species
UACGAAGGGGGCUAGCGUUGUUCGGAAUUACUGGGCGUAAAGGGCGCGUAGGCGGUGUGUCAAGUCAGGCGUGAAAGCCCCGGGCUCAACCUGGGAACCGCGCUUGAGACUGGCACGCUAGAGUUCGGGAGAGGAUGGUGGAAUUCCCAGUGUAGAGGUGAAAUUCGUAGAUAUUGGGAAGAACACCGAUGGCGAAGGCAGCCAUCUGGACCGACACUGACGCUGAGGCGCGAAA